GACGAACGCUGGCGGCGUGCUUAACACAUGCAAGUCGAACGGAAAGGCCUGCUUUCCCUUGUGGAUUGCGGGCACUCGAGUGGCGAACGGGUGAGUAACACGUGAGUGAUCUGCCCCCAACUUGGGUAUAAGCCUGGGAAACUGGGUCUAAUUCCCGAUAGGACUGCAGGGUGGUGCCUGUGGUGGAAAACGAUUUUCUAGUGGUUGGGGAUGAGCUCGCGGCCUAUCAGCUUGUUGGUGGGGUAAUGGCCUACCAAGGCGGCGACGGGUAGCCGGCCUGAGAGGGUGGACGGCCACAUUGGGACUGAGAUACGGCCCAGACUCCUACGGGAGGCAGCAGUGGGGAAUAUUGCACAAUGGGCGGAAGCCUGAUGCAGCGACGCCGCGUGGGGGAUGACGGCCUUCGGGUUGUAAACUCCUUUCGACCGCGAGGAAGCCACCUGGUUGGAAGGGUGGUGACGGUAGUGGUAGAAGAAGCACCGGCUAACUACGUG
rnacentral:rRNA from 1 species